UACGAGUGCCUCAAGCGUUAUCCGGAAUUAUUGGGCGUAAAGGGUGCGUAGGCGGUUCUGUUAGUCUCGCGUUAAAUUCUUCGGCUUAACCGGGAGCAUGCGCGGGAAACGGCAGGACUAGAAGGUGCGAGGGGUCUCUGGAACUCAUGGUGUAGCGGUGAAAUGCGUAGAUAUCGGAAGGAACACCUGUGGCGAAAGCGGCUCACUGGACCAUUACUGACGCUGAGGCGCGAAAGCUAGGGGAGCAAACAGG
rnacentral:rRNA from 1 species